AGGUUACAUUUCGGACAAGAAUCUAUCACUGUAAUAUUAACAGUCAAGGAGUUAUUUGCUUGGAUAUAUUGAAAGAUAAUUGGAGUCCAGCACUAACUAUUUCUAAAGUCCUCCUUUCUAUCUGCUCACUUCUUACAGACUGCAAUCCUGCUGACCCUUUGGUGGGAAGUAUUGCUACUCAGUAUAU